rnacentral:rRNA from 1 species
UGCAGUCGAGCGGUAGGCCCUUCGGGGUACACGAGCGGCGAACGGGUGAGUAACACGUGGGUGAUCUGCCUCGUACUCUGGGAUAAGCCUGGGAAACUGGGUCUAAUACCGGAUAUGACCACGAAUCGCAUGGUUUGUGGUGGAAAGAUUUAUCGGUGCGAGAUGGGCCCGCGGCCUAUCAGCUUGUUGGUGGGGUAAUGGCCUACCAAGGCGACGACGGGUAGCCGGCCUGAGAGGGCGACCGGCCACACUGGGACUGAGACACGGCCCAGACUCCUACGGGAGGCAGCAGUGGGGAAUAUUGCACAAUGGGCGGAAGCCUGAUGCAGCGACGCCGCGUGCGGGAUGACGGCCUUCGGGUUGUAAACCGCUUUCGACAGGGACGAAGCGUGAGUGACGGUACCUGUAGAAGAAGCACCGGCCAACUACGUGCCAGCAGCCGCGGUAAUACGUAGGGUGCGAGCGUUGUCCGGAAUUACUGGGCGUAAAGAGCUUGUAGGCGGUUUGUCGCGUCGUUCGUGAAAACUUGGGGCUCAACCCCAAGCUUGCGGGCGAUACGGGCAGACUAGAGUACUGCAGGGGAGACUGGAAUUCCUGGUGUAGCGGUGAAAUGCGCAGAUAUCAGGAGGAACACCGGUGGCGAAGGCGGGUCUCUGGGCAGUAACUGACGCUGAGAAGCGAAAGCGUGGGUA